UGAGAAAGCAAUUGCACCUUAUAAAACGUG
rnacentral:piRNA from 1 species